rnacentral:rRNA from 1 species
GACGAACGCUGGCGGCGUGCUUAACACAUGCAAGUUGAGCGAGAGCCAGCUGAGGGGUAACCCUCGGCUGGGGACAGCGGCGAACGGGUGCGUAACACGUGGGCAACCUGCCCCUGACACUGGGAUAACCCCGGGAAACCGGAGCUAAUACCGGAUACUCUCGGCCGAUCACAUGGCUGGCCGAGGAAAGGUCCGCCGGUCAGGGAUGGGCCCGCGGCCUAUCAGCUUGUUGGUGGGGAACGGCCUACCAAGGCGACGACGGGUAGCUGGUCUGAGAGGACGACCAGCCACACUGGAACUGAGAUACGGUCCAGACUCCUACGGGAGGCAGCAGUGGGGAAUAUUGCACAAUGGGCGAAAGCCUGAUGCAGCGACGCCGCGUGAGGGA